rnacentral:rRNA from 1 species
GUGUCAGCCGCCGCGGUAAUACGUAGGUGGCAAGCGUUGUCCGGAUUUAUUGGGCGUACAGGGCGCGCAGGCGGUUCGUUAGGUUCGAGGUGAAAUCUCUUGGCUCAACUGGGAGAGGUCUUCGGAUACCGGCGGACUUGAGGAGAGCAGAGGUGAGUGGAAUUCUGGGUGUAGUGGUGAAAUGCGUAGAUAUCCAGAGGAACACCAGUGGCGAAGGCGACUCACUGGGCUCCACCUGACGCUGAGGCGCGAAAGCGUGGGGAGCGAACCGGAUUAGAAACCCGUGUAGUCC